ACUGAAUUAGUUUAUUUUGUUAAAAUUUUGAUUUGUGAUUUCAAAGAAGUAUUUGGUA
rnacentral:tRNA from 1 species